UACGAAGGGGGCUAGCGUUGUUCGGAAUUACUGGGCGUAAAGCGCGCGCAGGCGGUUCGAUAAGUUGGGGGUGAAAUCCCCGGGCUCAACCCGGGAAUUGCCUUCAAGACUGUCGAGCUAGAGGACGAGAGAGGUGAGUGGAAUUCCCAGUGUAGCGGUGAAAUGCGCAGAUAUCGGGAAGAACACCCGUGGCGAAGGCGGCUCUCUGGGACGGUACUGACGCUGAGACGCGAAAGCGUGGGGAGCGAACAGG
rnacentral:rRNA from 1 species